GGCAAGUUGAAGACGCCUGGGACAAGAGGUGAAGCUUGUCUCGAUGAUGAUUGAAUAACCGAAGGCCCAAAGAUUUUCUCAAAAUAUCUGCCAGUUGAUUAGCACUUGAAAUAAAUUUUACUUGAAGGGUUUUUUGUUGAACUUGCUCUCGAAUAAAAUGAUAAUCAAGCUCCAUGUGCUUUGUUCUAGCAUGUAAAACCAGGUUAGAGCUUAAGUAGAUUGCUCCAAUGUUGUCACACCAUAAAGUGGCGGGUUGAGAAGGUAGAAAACCAAGUUCAAAAAGCAAUGAUUUUAUCCACAUAAUUUGUGCAGUGGCAUUGGCCAUGGAUCGGUACUCACUCUCAGUUGAGGAGCGAGCAACUGUUGGUUGCUUUUUGGAGGACCAUGAAAUCAAAUUGUGCCCAAGAUAAACAGCAUAGGCAGAUGUUGAGCAGCAGUCAUCUAGGCAACCAGCCCAAUCGCUGUCAAAGAAGCAUUGAAGCGUAAUCGGUGAGCUAUUUGAAAAGAACAAACCCAUAUGGGAGGCACCUUUCAAAUAACGCAGCAAGCGUUUUACAACAGCCCAAUGUUAAUGUGUUGGAGAAUGCAUGUACUGUGAUAAUUUGUUCAAAGAAAAAGCAAUAUCUGGUCAAGUC
rnacentral:misc_RNA from 1 species